ACUACGGGUGGCAGCAGUGGGGAAUAUUGCACAAUGGGGGAAACCCUGAUGCAGCGACGCAGCGUGAGUGAAGAAGUAUUUCGGUAUGUAAAGCUCUAUCAGCAGGGAAGAAGAAAGACGGUCCCUGACUAAGAAGCCCCGGCUAAAUACGUGCCAGCAGCCGCGGUACUUCGUAGGGGGCAAGGGUUAUCCGGAUUUACUGGGUGUAAAGGGAGUGUUGCCGGCUGUGAAAGUCAGAAGUGAAAGCCCAGGGCUCAACCCUGGGAUUGCUUUGGAAACUGUGGGGCUAGAGUGCGGGAGGGGAAAGUGGAAUUCCUGGUGUAGCGGUGAAAUGCUGAGAUAUGAGGAGGAACAC
rnacentral:rRNA from 1 species